rnacentral:lncRNA from 1 species
GUGAUGAUGAGGAAAUAUUGUGAAUAAAUUUAAACCUAAGAGUGCCUAAAUACUAGAGUGCACUGGUGAGCGGGAAUGAACCCACUUCACACGUGACGUUAUAGCAUAAGCAAGUACAGAAGAGUGAAUUAAGAAUUGUACCCUCGAAAUAAUCUCCAAUACUAAGAAUCGCCAUGAUUCCUCGACGAUAAGAAGACUCAGCUAAGAAGACCUGAAGGGUGAAGACAAAAUAAAGGUGAGUGGCCCAGUAGAUAAAAUUUUAAUAGAAACAAUAUAAAUUUCUAUAACCCCUCGCUACAACGCCUGUAAAAUUUCCAGAAUUAGAAUAUAAAAAUAUCCGUUAAAGUCAUGCUUCACAUAUUUAUAAUCACAUGCUACCUUAUCGCAUAUUCAUUACAUCUGCUAGUUUAUCACAUAUUCCCCACAUAUGCUAGCUCAUCACAUAUUUCAUUAUAUAUAUGCUAGCAUUUCACCAUAUAUAGGCUAGCAUCUAAGUCGAAGUCACCUCUAGUGACCUAUACGACAUAUUCAUAUCUUAUCAAUCAUGACUAGCAUGCAAGUCGGAGUCACCUCUAGUGACCUAUACGACAUAUUGGUAUCUCAUAACAUAUCUCAUCAAUCAUGGCUAGCAUAUAAGUCGGAGUCACCUCUAGUGACCUAUACGACAUAUUUAUAUCUCAUCACAUAUCUCAUCAAUCAUGGCUAGCAUAUAAGUCGGAGUCACCUCUAGUGACCUAUACGACAUAUUGAUAUCUCAUCACAUAACUCAUCGGUUCCACUAAUAUCAUAUACUUAAUUGAAUUUACCUAAACUUACCUGAACUUACCUAUGUGUCAUGUGUUCACCUUUGCACUUCAGAGCGUUCACUGUCACAUCCUAGGCCCGUUCCACCACCGUAGCACGAUAUUGUCCGCUUUGGGCUUACCAUUCCCUCACGGUUUUGUUUUUGGGAACUCACAAGCAACUUCCCAAUGGAUCACCCAUCUUGGGAGUUCUCUGGCCUCCUUCUCGCUUAACUUCGGAGUUCCUACGGAACCCAAAGCCAAUGAGCUCUCAAAAGGCCUCGUGCUAGGUAGGGAUGGGAAUAUACAUUUAAGGAUCACUCUCCUGGGCGAAGUGGGAUGUUACAUUCACAGUACCACAAUUAUAUAUAUAUAUAUAUAUUGAAGGAUGAUUUAGUGAAAACAUGUUCAUUUGAAUAACAUCUAUAGCAUGCAUUUAACAAUUAAAAGGCGGAAACAUGCUUGCAUGCACUCAAAAAACAAAACAUUACCCAUGAAAUUCAAAGCCUAGUAGAUUGGUGAACCAAGACUCAACUCAAAACAAAGUGAGUUGAAAUUUAUUCCUUUGUAGAUUCCUCUUUGCAUAAGCAAAGGCUAAUCACCCAAAGAGAGGGCCUUCAUUCCUUGCAUCUAAAAUCUAGGGAUUUGGAUGGAAGAAUAUGGUUCUCCAAGUUCCCAAAAUUGAGAACCUCUAAGUGUCUACACCAAGGUUAGAUUUAAGUAGAAAUGAGUGACCUUGGAGGAGUGGGAUUGCUAGCUAAUCCCUCCAAGGGGGCCGGCCUCUUUAGAGAGAAAUGAGAGCUUUGUGUUCUCUGCAAUUUCCUAAAAGAAACCCUAAAUGAAUUUUGGCUAUAAAGUCAUAUUUAUACCUUAAUUCAUUGGAGUGGCAAACUUGUAAAUAAGUCCAAAACCCACUCCAUCUCUAAAUGGCAGGCCAUAGGGAUUCAUUGGACUAUUUGGGCCUUUGUGAAUCAUUAUUCAUUAAGUUGUCAUACAACUUAAGUCAAUGGACUUGACGUUCGAAGCCCAUUGGGCCUUAAGGUCCAAAACUAUCCCGAGGUCUUUAACGAACUUAUUCGUUUGAUUAAUUAACAUAUUAAUUAAUCCUUGCCAUAAAUAAUUAAACCAUUUAAUUAUUCUUACUCAUCUCCGUUGUUUCUUCAAUCUCUACCUUAUAUGGUGUACGAUCCAUUAGGUUCCUUUUAGCGAGGCAGUGGGCGAUUAAAACUCUUUCAAAUCGAUUGUGAAUUGAAACUUACUUUCAAUUCUCCCUUUAGUGUUUAUACACGUUUAAGGCUUCCACAAACCAAGAGUGACACCUAGCAACAUAUCAUGGUUACCCAAGCUAAUCAGAAGAGGUAGAGAACCUAUUCAGUUUAGGAUUACAAAUGCAAUACGGUCUUUCUCUAAUACAAUACUCUUGGCCACAUUGUUUGGUUUGAUAGUUUAUUCAUGUCUACUAUCCA